rnacentral:rRNA from 1 species
AGGACGAACGCUGGCGGCGUGCCUAAUACAUGCAAGUCGAGCGGACAGAAGGGAGCUUGCUCCCGGAUGUUAGCGGCGGACGGGUGAGUAACACGUGGGUAACCUGCCUGUAAGACUGGGAUAACUCCGGGAAACCGGAGCUAAUACCGGAUAGUUCCUUGAACCGCAUGGUUCAAGGAUGAAAGACGGUUUCGGCUGUCACUUACAGAUGGACCCGCGGCGCAUUAGCUAGUUGGUGAGGUAACGGCUCACCAAGGCGACGAUGCGUAGCCGACCUGAGAGGGUGAUCGGCCACACUGGGACUGAGACACGGCCCAGACUCCUACGGGAGGCAGCAGUAGGGAAUCUUCCGCAAUGGACGAAAGUCUGACGGAGCAACGCCGCGUGAGUGAUGAAGGUUUUCGGAUCGUAAAGCUCUGUUGUUAGGGAAGAACAAGUGCAAGAGUAACUGCUUGCACCUUGACGGUACCUAACCAGAAAGCCACGGCUAACUACGUGCCAGCAGCCGCGGUAAUACGUAGGUGGCAAGCGUUGUCCGGAAUUAUUGGGCGUAAAGGGCUCGCAGGCGGUUUCUUAAGUCUGAUGUGAAAGCCCCCGGCUCAACCGGGGAGGGUCAUUGGAAACUGGGAAACUUGAGUGCAGAAGAGGAGAGUGGAAUUCCACGUGUAGCGGUGAAAUGCGUAGAGAUGUGGAGGAACACCAGUGGCGAAGGCGACUCUCUGGUCUGUAACUGACGCUGAGGAGCGAAAGCGUGGGGAGCGAACAGGAUUAGAUACCCUGGUAGUCCACGCCGUAAACGAUGAGUGCUAAGUGUUAGGGGGUUUCCGCCCCUUAGUGCUGCAGCUAACGCAUUAAGCACUCCGCCUGGGGAGUACGGUCGCAAGACUGAAACUCAAAGGAAUUGACGGGGGCCCGCACAAGCGGUGGAGCAUGUGGUUUAAUUCGAAGCAACGCGAAGAACCUUACCAGGUCUUGACAUCCUCUGACAACCCUAGAGAUAGGGCUUUCCCUUCGGGGACAGAGUGACAGGUGGUGCAUGGUUGUCGUCAGCUCGUGUCGUGAGAUGUUGGGUUAAGUCCCGCAACGAGCGCAACCCUUGAUCUUAGUUGCCAGCAUUCAGUUGGGCACUCUAAGGUGACUGCCGGUGACAAACCGGAGGAAGGUGGGGAUGACGUCAAAUCAUCAUGCCCCUUAUGACCUGGGCUACACACGUGCUACAAUGGACAGAACAAAGGGCUGCGAGACCGCAAGGUUUAGCCAAUCCCACAAAUCUGUUCUCAGUUCGGAUCGCAGUCUGCAACUCGACUGCGUGAAGCUGGAAUCGCUAGUAAUCGCGGAUCAGCAUGCGGGGGGGAAUAUAGUUUCCCGGGGCCUUGUACACACCGCCCGUCACACCACGAGAGUUUGCAACACCCGAAGUCGGUGAGGUAACCUUUAUGGAGCCAGCCGCCGA